GAUGAACGCUGGCGGCGUGCCUAAUACAUGCAAGUCGAGCGAACGGACGAGAAGCUUGCUUUUCUUCUGUUAGCGGCGGACGGGUGAGUAACACGUGGCUAACCUACCUAUAAGACUGGGAUAACUUCGGGAAACCGGAGCUAAUACCCGAUAAUAGUGUGAACCGCAUGGUUCAACAGUGAAAGACGGUCUUGCUGUCACUUAUAGAUGGAUCCGCGCUGCAUUAGCUAGUUGGUACGGUAACGGCUUACCAAGGCAACGAUGCAUAGCCGACCUGAGAGGAUGAUCAGCCACACUGGAACUGAGACACGGUCCAGACUCCUACGGGAGGCAGCAGUGGGGAAUAUUCGGCAAUGGGCGAAAGCCUGACGGAGCAACGCCGCGUGAGUGAUGAAGGUCUUCGGAUCGUAAAGCUCUGUUAGUAGGGAAGAACAGAUGUGUAUGUAUAUGUGGACGUCUUGACGUUACCAACACAGAAAGCCACGGCUAACUACGUG
rnacentral:rRNA from 1 species